rnacentral:rRNA from 1 species
UGGGGAAUUUUGGACAAUGGGCGCAAGCCUGAUCCAGCCAUUCCGCGUGAGUGAAGAAGGCCUUCGGGUUGUAAAGCUCUUUCGCAAGGGAAGAAAGAUUACGCUCUAACAUAGCGUGAUUAUGACGGUACCUUGAUAAGAAGCACCGGCUAACUACGUGCCAGCAGCCGCGGUAAUACGUAGGGUGCGAGCGUUAAUCGGAAUUACUGGGCGUAAAGCGUGCGCAGGCUGUUUUGUAAGUCAGAUGUGAAAUCCCCGAGCUCAACUUGGGAACUGCGUUUGAAACUACAAGACUAGAAUAUGUCAGAGGGGGGUAGAAUUCCACGUGUAGCAGUGAAAUGCGUAGAGAUGUGGAGGAAUAUCAAUGGCGAAGGCAGCCCCCUGGGAUAAUAUUGACGCUCAUGCACGAAAGCGUGGGGAGCAAACAGGAUUAGAUACCCUGGUAGUCCACGCCCUAAACGAUGUCAACUAGUUGUUGGUAGAG